GUCGAGCCGGCCAGAACAUCGCUCCAGUGAUGUUUAUAAUCAGAAACUCGUGACAAUGCCGUGAACCAGGCCAUAAGUAUACACAGAAGUUGCAGGAAGUGUUUCAACAGCUUGCUACCCUUCCAUGUCAUCCUUAAUUAGAAAAGCUGGAAAGUGGCAUCGACAGAAAUGUCUCGAAGGAGAUUAUUGGAAAUAUUUCAGGAUAAACAACGUUGUAUGGUUAUUCGCCGCUGCAAAUAAAGAGAGUAAAGAAGAUAGACGAUUGGAUGCUGCAUAAACGACGGACAGGAGUUGAAACGAGUGCUGACAGUAGCGUCAUUAUUCUCAAAAAAGAAACAGAACGAACUGGAAAUAAUUGUCGAUUUUGCGCUUUCCACUUGCCAUUUAUAUUCAUGUAUUCGUAAUUUUUUUCAAACUUUAGUCGAUCUAUUAUCAUAUAAAUUGUUUUCGAGCAAAAAAAUUGUCAGAACGCCGGAAAGAUAAAAAUAUAUGGAAUUCUACUUAAUAAAAAUUACGAUAGCUUCGAAUUAUAUCUUUAAAUUAUGUAAAUUGCAGCUCCUUCGUAAAACAAUUAUCGUUAAUUAAUGGUCGAUACCAAAUGACCAUCGAUAUACAUAAUCAUUUGGUUAAAUUCUCGUAAAAGUAAUUGAAAAAUUAUAGGCACGUUAACAUAAUAAUAAAUGUUCCGUAUGUCAAUGAUGUUGAAAUUAAAAAGGGAAAUAUGCACAAAGACGUCGUAUAAGGUGGAUUUUUUACGCACGUUACGUAAUGCUUGAUAUCAUAAUGAUACACACGUGUAAAGAAAUAACAAAGUACUCAUUUACACACUUA